rnacentral:misc_RNA from 1 species
CCACCUUUACGUAUGUAUAUAUAAAAUACAUUAAAGCAAGCAAAGCAUACAAAGCAAAUCCUUAUACCAAGAAAACAUCUCAAAAGGCAUAAAUCAAAAGCAUUACUUUUCAAGUGUCUUGCAAAAGCUCUCCCCAUCCUCUUUCUUCUAUCAAAAAGCAAAACCUCAAAAUAAUGGAAGACGAGGAAGACACGCCAUCACCCUUCUGGCUUCAAGCCACCGAUCGCCGCCACAGCCGCUUCCGCAGCCAAGCCUCUUCUAUCUUCCUCAACUCUGGUGUCCUUCUCAUAAUCUUACUUGUCAUAGCUUUUGUUUUUGUGUUCAUUAUUGUCCCUUCAUUUAUUUCUUUCACUUCCCGGAUUUUUAGACCACAUUUGAUCAAGAAAAGCUGGGAUUACCUUAAUUUUGUUCUUGUCUUCUUUGCUAUAAUUUGUGGAUUUCUUGGUAAAAAUAACAACAAUAAUAGCAACUCUGAAAGUCCAAGCUAUCACAGCAUAUCAAGUGUACAACGAGAUGUGCAGAGAUCAUGUCCAUCAACACCUGCUCAUAGAUGGUAUGAUCAGAAUCAUGAUCGGCCGGCGGUAGCGCCUUAUAAUAGCUUGAAUAGGUUAAGGAGCUUCAGUUCAUACCCAGAUCUCCGGCAAGAAUCCUUGUGGCUGACCAACGAUGAAAGGUGGCGAUUUUAUGAUGAUACCCAUCUUCAUAACUACAGGUUUUCAAGCUCAUCGGAUCAGCUCCAAGAUCAUCGCCCACAACAGCAGUAUCAGGCAAAAGAAGAACAAGAAGAAGAUGUUGUUACUAAAGAUAUAGCUGUUGAUAGUACUGUAAAGGAAGUUGUUUACACCCCACCACCUCCGUCUCCUCCUACUCAACCGCGGUCACCGCCAGUUCCACCACUUUCUCCGCAGCUGCCACCACCUAAGGCUAUGAGAAGAAAGGUGAAGAGAACGUAUCAAGAUCUGGGGCAUGAAAAGAGAGAAGAGAAGGGUUUGGAAGUUGAGAAAUCCUACAUAUCAUCAACUUAUCCAGCCCCGCCUCCGCCUCCACCUCCACCGCCACCGGUUGUCAGCAGGAAUGAGAAGAGGAGAGGUAAAGAUCUCUUGACUCCACUGAGAAGAAGGAAAAAGAAGCAGAGACAAAAGAGUGUUGAAAAUCUUGAGAGCUUAUUCGACCCUCAUCAUCCUUCAUCUCUACCUUUCAUACCACCACCAUCCCCACCGCCGCCUCCACCGCCGCCGCCACCUCCACCACCCCAUUUCUUCAAAAAUCUUUUCUCUUCCA